UACGUAGGGUGCGAGCGUUAAUCGGAAUUACUGGGCGUAAAGUGUGCGCAGGCGGCCGAGCAAGUCGAGUGUGAAAGCCCCGAGCUUAACUUGGGAACUGCGCUCGAAACUACUUGGCUAGAGUGUGGCAGAGGGAGGUGGAAUUCCACGUGUAGCGGUGAAAUGCGUAGAGAUGUGGAGGAACACCAGUGGCGAAGGCGGGUAGCUGGGCCGACACUGACGCUGAGGCGCGAAAGCUAGGGGAGCGAACGGG
rnacentral:rRNA from 1 species